AUCAACUAAUAAUAAUCCAACAUGGUAUUAAUAUGUGUGUGUAUAUGUCUGGACAACAGGAAGCGUCAACGAUGACUCGCUCUAAAUACAUGAGAUUAGAACGAGAUAGAAUGGAGUUUUAGGCGGAUUAGGAUUAGGGAUUAAUGGAGACAAACUGGGAAAGUAAUUUCUGUGUUUGAGAUUUUUUUUUUUUAAAUUAAUAAUAUUUCAUCUAAUGUCUAACUCGUUUAUGUAACGAAGAAUAAGUGUGACAAGAACUGAGGUAGAGGGUAUUAUGGAGAAAUAACACAUAAAAAGUAUGUGGCCAGCAAAAUGUGUCUUUUUGUGUAUUU
rnacentral:lncRNA from 1 species